rnacentral:rRNA from 1 species
GCCUAAAGCGUCCGUAGCCGGCUUUGUCAGUUUUCGGUUAAAUCCAUAUGCUCAACAUAUGGGCCGCCGGGAAUACUGCAAAGCUAGGGAGUGGGAGAGGUAGACGGUACUCCGUAGGAAGGGGUAAAAUCCUUUGAUCUAUGGAUGACCACCUGUGGCGAAGGCGGUCUACCAGAACACGUUCGACGGUGAGGGAUGAAAGCUGGGGGAGCAAACCGGAUUAGAUACCCGGGUAGUCCCAGCUGUAAACUAUGCAAACUCAGUGAUGCAUUGGCUUGUGGCCAGUGCAGUGCCGCAGAGAAGUCGUUAAGUUUGCCGCCUGGGAAGUACGUACGCAAGUAUGAAACUUAAAGGAAUUGGCGGGGGAGCACCACAAGGGGUGAAGCCUGCGGUUCAAUUGGAGUCAACGCCAGAAAUCUUACCCGGAGAGACAGCAGGAUGAAGGUCAAGUUGAAGCCUUUACCAGACAAGCUGAGAAGUGGUGCAUGGCCGUCGCCAGCUCGUGCCGUGAGGUGUCCUGUUAAGUCAGGUAACGAGCGAGAUCCUUGCCUCUAGUUGCUACCAUUACUCUCAGGAGUAGUGGAGCGAAUUAGCGGGACUGCCGUAGUUAAUACGGAGGAAGGAGAGGGCCACGGCAGGUCAGUAUGCCCCGGA